GAUGAACGCUGGCGGCGUGCCUAAUACAUGCAAGUCGAGCGAACAGACGAGGAGCUUGCUCCUCUGACGUUAGCGGCGGACGGGUGAGUAACACGUGGAUAACCUACCUAUAAGACUGGGAUAACUUCGGGAAACCGGAGCUAAUACCGGAUAAUAUAUUGAACCGCAUGGUUCAAUAGUGAAAGACGGUUUUGCUGUCACUUCUAGAUGGAUCCGCGCCGCAUUAGCUAGUUGGUAAGGUAACGGCUUACCAAGGCAACGAUGCGUAGCCGACCUGAGAGGGUGGUAGGCCACACUGGAACUGAGACACGGUCCAGACUCCUACGGGAGGCAGCAGUAGGGAAUCUUCCGCAAAGGGCGAAAGCUUGACGGAGCAACGCCGCGUGAGUUAUGAAGGUCUUCGGAGCGUAAAACUCUGUUAUUAGGGAAGAACAAAUGUGUAAGUAACUAUGCACGUCUUGACGGUACCUAAUCAGAAAGCCCCGGCUAACUACGUG
rnacentral:rRNA from 1 species